rnacentral:rRNA from 1 species
UGGGGAAUAUUGGACAAUGGGCGCAAGCCUGAUCCAGCAAUGCCGCGUGGGUGAAGAAGGCCUUCGGGUUGUAAAGCCCUUUUGUACGGGAAGAAAUCAUCCGGGUUAAUACCCUGGGUGGAUGACGGUACCGUAAGAAUAAGCACCGGCUAACUUCGUGCCAGCAGCCGCGGUAAUACGAAGGGUGCAAGCGUUAAUCGGAAUUACUGGGCGUAAAGCGUGCGUAGGUGGUUGUUUAAGUCUGUCGUGAAAGCCCUGGGCUCAACCUGGGAAUGGCGAUGGAUACUGGGCGACUGGAGUGCGGUAGAGGAUGGCGGAAUUCCCGGUGUAGCGGUGAAAUGCGUAGAGAUCGGGAGGAACAUCCGUGGCGAAGGCGGCCAGUCUGGACCAGCACUGACACUG